rnacentral:rRNA from 1 species
UACGAAGGGUGCAAGCGUUACUCGGAAUUACUGGGCGUAAAGCGUGCGUAGGUGGUGAGUUAAGUCUGUCGUGAAAGCCCCGGGCUCAACCUUUGAAUGUCAGUGGAUACUGCCGGGCUAGAGUCCGGAAGAGGCGAGUGGAACUCCUGGUGUAGCGGUGGAAUGCGCAGAUAUCAGGAAGAACACCAACGGCGAAGGCAGCUCGCUGGGACGGUACUGACGCUGAGACGCGAAAGCGUGGGGAGCAAACAGG